rnacentral:rRNA from 1 species
GGGGAUAGCCUUUCGAAAGAAAGAUUAAUACCCGAUGGCAUAGUUCUUCCGCAUGGUAGAACUAUUAAAGGAUUUCGGUCAUCGAUGGGGAUGCGUUCCAUUAGGUUGUUGGCGGGGUAACGGCCCACCAAGCCUUCGAUGGAUAGGGGUUCUGAGAGGAAGGUCCCCCACAUUGGAACUGAGACACGGUCCAAACUCCUACGGGAGGCAGCAUG